GGCAACCCUGACGGAGCAACGCCGCGUGGGGGAGGAAGGUCUGUGGAUUGUAAACUCCUUUUCUCUAGGAAGAAGUUCUGACGGUACUAGAGGAAUCAGCAUCGGCUAACUCCGUGCCAGCAGCCGCGGUAAGACGGAGGAUGCAAGCGUUAUCCGGAAUUAUUGGGCGUAAAGCGUCCGCAGGCGGCUUAGCAAGUCUGCUGUCAAAGACUGCAGCUCAACUGUGGGCCGGCGGUGGAAACUGAUGAACUUGAGUAUGGUAGGGGUAGAGGGAAUUCCCAGUGUAGCGGUGAAAUGCGUAGAUAUUGGGAAGAACACCAGUGGCGAAGGCGCUCUGCUGGGCCAUAACUGACGCUGAGGGACGAAAGCUAGGGGAGCG
rnacentral:rRNA from 1 species